GUACGGGAGGCAGCAGUGGGGAAUUUUGCGCAAUGGGCGAAAGCCUGACGCAGCAACGCCGCGUGGAGGAUGAAGGCCUUCGGGUCGUAAACUCCUGUCAGGGGGGACGAAAGCCGGGAAACCGGUAUGACUGUACCCUCUGAGGAAGCCACGGCUAACUCCGUGCCAGCAGCCGCGGUAAUACGGAGGUGGCAAGCGUUGUUCGGAAUUACUGGGCGUAAAGGGCGCGUAGGCGGCUUGGCAAGUCAGAUGUGAAAGCCCCGGGCUUAACUCGGGAACUGCAUCUGAAACUGCUUUGCUUGAGUCCUGGAGGGGGUAGUGGAAUUCCCAGUGUAGCGGUGAAAUGCGUAGAUAUUGGGAGGAACACCUGUGGCGAAGGCGGCUACCUGGACAGUGACUGACGCUGAGGCGCGAAAGCUAGGGGAGCAAACGGGAUUAGAUACCCCGGU
rnacentral:rRNA from 1 species